UCACAUCGUAGGGGUCCUCCAAGAGGCAGGAAUCAACCUCCAGGAGACAAACCAUCUCAGGAGGCACUGGAACUUCUGGACCAAAUGCUGAGUGCAUUGCAGAGACGGAGAGAUGAGAACACUGGGAAUGCUUCUCCAACAGCUUGGAUGGAAGAUGCUUUGAGUGCCUUGAGGUCACCUCCAGGGGUGUCUGCAGGGAGGAAUUUUCCAGCUCCUGGGCUGGUUGCUCCACGGUGGUCCAGCUCCCAUGGCAGGGGUCCUCCAAGAGGCAGGAAUCAACCUCCAGGAGACAAACCAUCUCAGGAGGCACUGGAACUUCUGGACCAAAUGCUGAAUGAACUGGAGAGACAGA